CUAACAAGGAUUUUCUUAGUAGCGGCGAGCGAAAAGAAAAUAGUUCAGCACUAAGUCACUUUGUCUUUAUGGCAAAUGUGAGAUGCAGUGUAUGGAAUGUCAAAUUUCUAGUAUGAGAAAUUAACGAUUUAAGUCCUUCUUAAAUGAGGCCAUUUACCCAAAGAGGGUGCCAGGCCCGUAUAACGUUAAUGAUUACUAGAUGGCAUUUCCAAAGAGUCGUGUUGCUUGAUAGUGCAGCACUAAGUGGGUGGUAAACUCCAUCUAAAACUAAAUAUAACCAUGAGACCGAUAGUAAACAAGUACCGUGAGGGAAAGUUGAAAAGAACUCUGAAUAGAGAGUUAAAUAGUACGUGAAACUGCUUAGAGGUUAAGCCCGAUGAACCUGAAUAUCCAUUAUGGAAAAUUCAUCAUUAUGAUUUUAAUAUUUGUAAUAUUAUAAUAAUGGUGUGCAUUUUUUCUAUAAAGGACAUUGUAAUCUAUUAACUUUAAUAUAUUUAUCAUAAGAUCAUUAGAUUAUGUUUAUUCAAAUUAUUUUGCUUGCAAUUUAAUAUCGAAUAAAUUCUUUUGAUUUGAUAAAGUGUUGAUAGAUUUAUUAUAUACAGUGCUUAAAUAUUUAUAUUUUAUAAUAUCAUAUUAAUCAAUGAUUUUUAUGUUCAUUAUAUGCACUUGUAUGAUUAACAAUGCGAAAGAUUCAGGAUACCUUCGGGACCCGUCUUGAAACACGGACCAAGGAGUCUAACAUAUUUGCAAGUUAUUGGGAAUAAAAACCUAAUAGCGAAAUUAACAUAACUUUAAUGGGAUUAGUUUUUAGCCUAUUUAUAGUCUAUUAAUUCAAUCCCGGGGCGUUCUAUACAGUUAUGUAUAAUAAUAUUUAUAUUAUUUAUACCUCUAACUAGAGCGUACCUUGAGCAUAUAUGCUGUGACCCGAAAGAUGGUGAACUAUACUUGAUCAGGUUGAAGUCAGGGGAAACCCUGAUGGAAGACCGAAACAGUUCUGACGUGCAAAUCGAUUGUCAGAAUUGAGUAUAGGGGCGAAAGACCAAUCGAACCAUCUAGUAGCUGGUUCCCUCCGAAGUUUCCCUCAGGAUAGCUGGUGCAUUUAAAAAUUAUGUAAAAUAAUCUUAUCUGGUAAAGCGAAUGAUUAGAGGCCUUAGGGUCGAAACGAUCUUAACCUAUUCUCAAACUUUAAAUGGGUAAGAACCUCACCUUUCUUGGUAUGAAGGUUGUGGUUGUGAUAUAAUGUGCCCAGUGGGCCACUUUUGGUAAGCAGAACUGGCGCUGUGGGAUGAACCAAACGUAAUGUUACGGUGCCCAAAUUAACAACUCAUGCAGAUACCAUGAAAGGCGUUGGUUGCUUAAAACAGCAGGACGGUGGACAUGGAAGUCGUAAUCCGCUAAGGAGUGUGUAACAACUCACCUGCCGAAGCAACUAGCCCUUAAAAUGGAUGGCGCUUAAGUUGUAUACCUAUACAUUACCGCUAAAGUAGAUGGUUUAUAUUCAAUCUCGGUUGGAUUUUAAACUUUGAAACUUUAGUGAGUAGGAGGGUACAAUGGUAAGCAUAGAAGUGUUUGGCGUAAGCCU
rnacentral:rRNA from 1 species